UAUUAAAUACCAUCAUAUCCGUGAUCUUCAAGAAGCAGGUGUCAUUGACGUGACACAUAUCAGCACGAAAGAUCAACUUGCCGACCUUUUCACCAAAGGAUUGGAAGCCGGAAGAUUUCAGUAUCUUGUUCAAAGUAUUGGUGUAUUCAGUUCAGUUUGAGUGGGUGUGUUGAUUUGUUGUCUAUAACCAAACUUCCCUUCCCCCCCCCUUCUAUCUGUCAGAGUGCCUUGAGAGACCACUAGUUGGCUCUGCCAGUCCAUAAGCAAGUGAAGUCAGUGGGUGUCAAUCACCAAUCUUAUGUAUUGUGUCUCUUCUCUCUGACAGGCUUUAUCUCUGUCUAUUUGUGAAAUACAGAAGCUAUCAGAUCGAAGUCAAGAUCACACAGCAACCUCUGGUAUUAGUUCAUAUUGAUUAAUAGUUAA